UGCUACCAUCUUCUCGACCAAUCAACAUAGGUUGCUGUGUAUGUUUUUGGCGGCGGGAGAUAAACAAAGAGAAACAGAGAGACGAGAGAGUAAUACUAAAGAAGAGUAAUUCUGCCAGCGUAAGAGAAAUACAUACAACACGAGAUAUCUAGAUACAGUCACACACACACACACACACACACACACACACACACACACACACACACACACACACACACACACACACACACACACACACACACACACACACACACACACACACAUAUCCCAAGACAAAUUCAAACCAACAUGUCAAAACGGCGUUACACUACGGAAGAAACCGUAGAAUUUAUUUUGUCUGGCGGACCGCUUAGCGAUGCAGCGAUGGAUUCCUCAGAUUCUGAAGCUGACAACUAGCAAGGAAGAGGAGUAUGAUCACGGGAUUGAUCCCUUCGAAGAUAAAAAAUACAGAGGAUGAGAGAGGGGAUGCACAAGCCCCUGUCCCCAUCAGUAGGCCUCCUUCAAACCGAGAGGGAAAAGAAUGUGGCCAGGAGGGUGCAGCAUCCAGAAAAAAGGCCAAACCAAUGCCAGCCCCCCUGACAGUGAAAGGGAGAGGAAGAGGGAAAGGGAAAAAAACAUCUCUGACCCCAGAAGAGCCAGGAGCUGUUUGGAACGGACCUGAGGUGCCAGAUACUGCCCAACAACUACCACACUUUUGCCCGAAAAGAGCCCGUGGAGUCCAAGGUUUUGUUGGUGUGGAGUAUACUCCUGCACAAAUAUUUAGAAAUUGUUUUAACAACCAAGCUGUAAAUAUCAUCUGCAAGAACACAAACAAAAAUGCUGAAAAGGAGCAGGCUAAGGGGGAAAAGUUUGUUUGGGAAAGCCGGUAAAAUUCCUCAUGUAUGUCGGCCUUAUGAUGUUCAUGGCACUUCUAAAACUGCUCAAAGUAAGAGACUACUGGAGGAAGGGAUCACACCUGAGUGUUCUCUUUCCUGCUUCUAUCAUGACAAGAGACAGGUUCAUGGCAAUCAGCAGAGCUGUACAUCUGAGCGACCCAGACCAUGAUGAAUCUUGAUACAUUUCCUUUGCUCUUCAUAUAUUUUUCUAAUAUUUUGGUUAUAGUUUGAAGAUCAUUUGCUCUUUGUACUUUUGCACUUUCUAUAUAUUCCUAAUACUUUGUUUAUAGUUUUAAUAUAAUUUGCACUUUGUUAAUUUGCACUUUGAAUUUGUUUCACUGUUUGUGUUUGUAUUUCAAUGUUCAAAUUAUAAUAUAUAUCUCUGAAACAA